rnacentral:rRNA from 1 species
GCCCGUUGAUCGCGCGGAUCUUCAGAGAUUAGAGUUUGAUCCUGGCUCAGGAUGAACGUUGGCGGCGUGCCUAAGGUAUGCAAGUCGAGGGAGAAUCACGAGCUUGCUCGUGAGGAAACCGGCAAACGGCUGAGUAACGCGUAGGAACUUUCCCCUAAGUCAAGCAUAGCUACCCGAAAGGGUAAUUAAUACUGGAUAUUCUAUGUUCAUUCGUGAAUAUAGCAAAGGCUUCGGUCGCUUAGGGAUAGGCCUGCGUCCUAUCAGGUUGUUGGUGAGGUAAUGGCUCACCAAGCCUAUGACGGGUAGCUGGUCUGAGAGGACGGACAGCCAGAAUGGGACUGAGACACGGCCCAUACUCCUACGGGAGGCAGCAAUUAGGAAUCUUGCGCAAUGGACGAAAGUCUGACGCAGCGACGCCGCGUGGAGGAUGACGGCCUUCGGGUUGUAAACUCCUUUUAUCAGGAAACAAUAAAUGAGGGUACCUGAUGAAUAAGGCCCCCCUAACUACGUGCCAGAAGGGUCGGUGAUGCGUAGGGGCCAAACGUUAUCCGGAAUUACUGGGCGUAAAGAGAUGCGUAGGCGACUAGGCAAGUCUAAUGUGAAAGACCGAGGCUCAACUUCGGAAUUGCGUUAGAAACUGCUUAGAUUGAGUCAGAUAGAGGGAGGCGGAAUUUCUGGUGUAGCGGUGAAAUGCGUUGAUAUCAGAAAGAACACCAAUUGCGAAGGCAACCUCCUGGGUCUUGACUGACGCUAAGGCUCGAAAGCGUGGGUAGCAUAACGGAUUAGAUACCCGUGUAGUCCACGCCCUAAACGAUCCCUACUAGAUGUGUGAUUGGUAUUUUCAUCUUAACUUCGGUUAUUAUGUGAAUUUCGAUUAUGUGUCGCAGCUAACGCGUUAAGUAGGGCGCCUGGGGAGUACGGCCGCAAGGCUAAAACUCAAAGGAAUUGACGGGGACCCGCACAAGUAGUGGAGCGUCUGGUUUAAUUCGAUGCUAAACGAAGAACCUUACCAAGGCUUGAACUGUAGCUGCAUCCAUUCUGAAAGGUUUGGAGCCCC